AUCGAGUUGAUUUCAGAAUCUCCU
rnacentral:siRNA from 1 species